GUGAAAAUCGCUUUUUCCUGUAUUUUCGCGUCCAUACUUUUUGUUUUUUCAAACCACAACACAACAGUUGAAAGCGACGAAUCUGCCCCACUUCGUCGUACUUCACGGAUUACCCUAAAGAUGGCGCGACGCGACCCGGUUUUUUUAGCGGUUGUUUGUCAACAGAAAUAUUUUACGAUAAUUUAUACCUUCAAAUUAUAUCAUCUCUAUCGUUGAUUAUUAUAGGUGAGACAGGCGAGAAGCGAGACAGACGAAAGAAGCGUACAAAAGUAGGCAAGAAAGUGAUGAACCACGAGAAAAAUAGAGGGGAGAAGUACUGAAACAAGUUAUGAAUGGACUAAGUUAUUAUAAUGAACCAACGAUAGGAAAAUUUUACAAGGAUAAAAUGUGAAUGUUUGACCAAUAUUAUCCAAGUACAAUUAAACGCUUACCCCUCCCAAAUCUUUGAUUUUUGAUUCUAUUUUGGUUGUAGUAGCAUGAUUCUUUAUAUCCAAAUAAAAUGAUUUUCCUUCCAA